AUCUCUCAUUCUCUUCCGUCUCUCAUUCGCUUCUGUCAUGUCUGAAAUUCAUAGGUUUCAGAGAUCUCAAAUUUCAGAUCAAGCCGACCUAUUUAUUUUUCGCCUUAGGGUUUCAAGGUUUACCUACAAAAGUUGUUUUAGGGUUCAGUCUCUCUUAUGUCGUUUCCAAAAACUCUCAAGAGCAGCAACACAGAGAAGAAGAAAGGCCCUAAAAUUCUCAAUUCCUUGGUUUUUGAUUUGAGAGAUCGUGAAGAGGAAUGACGCUUUCCUCGUCAAAGAGUUUGGAAAUAGAAAUCAAAUGGUUCAGUUCAGAAAGAACCUAAUAAUCUAUACAACGUUAACACCUUCAAACACUUUGAGUUAGCUACUGCAAAGUCUAUUUCAGUUCAAGCUGGAAAAGAUUCAGGUGUUGUUCUGGCUACUAUCAAGACUAACAAACAGAAGUACCAUUCAGCUUUGGUGCACAAAACUGUCAUGGAGCUAGGAAACAUACCUCUUCUUGUUGUAUACUGAAAUUCAGGAAAAUCUGUCUGAAAGAGUAUUAGAGCUUCUUGCGUUGCCCGGGGAUGAUGUUCUGUGGAUGCUCCUUGAUACUUAAAUUUGUGAUUUUAUUAGUUGACAGCUGAAGUUUGGGAUUAGUUUUUGAUUGUUUACUUUGUGUUUUGUUUUAGGCUGUGGCUCUAGACUAAGCGGAGAAACAUAAUCUGAGAGUGGACACCAAUGGAUUGGUUUACACAUAUCUGAUUCAAUGCUAGUGAAACAAUAUUGCGCUGGAGCGGGAAGUAGAUGGUGAUCUUUUGCUAAGCGAUAUGGGUCAGGACUUGGGUUUCAUGGAUGGAGUUAUUAAUGGUGUUAUUAGCAUCUCAGCGGUGCAGACAGUUCCUCUCAUAAUCCAAGACUGACAUUGAAGGCCUUCUUUGGAUCACUAUAUCGGUGUUUACCUGAAGUGAUCCUCUUCGAACACCAAGUACAUAGACUAUACCUCUCCGAUGCUAAAUAUGUAGGAGGUGAUUCCCAUAUUGCGGCUGCUUCACCGGUGUAUAUAAAUCUUUUCGUACUUUCAUAUACUGGACGCUGGGAAUUCGUCUCGUAUUGCCCUUCAAUUGGUUAAGGUUCUUCUUGACCAGUUCUUUAUUUUCCUUAUAUGACAAGUGGUAACUCAUGUUGCCCUUGCAAUUGAAGUUCCCCGGGGUUAGCUUAACAAGAAGGAUCCCAUGGGCUGCUACUGUACUUCAGGUUCCGCAGUUUGUCUUGGGACUUUCACACUAUUACUGAUUAACUAAAUAAUAUUUCUUUUUGGCUUAGAAAUAUCCUCACAUGUAUCUCGUUGCUUUAUCCUUUAAAGAUCUUAAUCUGCUCAUCUUUCUACAUUUUUAAUGGGAGGAGGCGGAUCCUUUUCAGCUGGUGGCCCGGGAAAGGGAUGCACUCACGGCUGUGUAAGUCUAAAUUUGUGUUUCCUUAUAUGUUUCUGGUGUAUCAUAGUUUCUCUGAAGCAUUAUCAGUCUGUUGUCGUUUAUUUAUUAAUGAUGGCAAAUUUUUUUUACAUGGAUUCUGAUGUAACUAGUUCUGAAUAGAGUAUCACCAGAUUCAGUCAUUUUCUGUAUUCAGCAGCAUCUACACUUGACACUGGCCUAUUUGGAAUUCAUGCAUCUACUGUGAGCGGUGUACCAUUUAUGACUUUACUACAUAUUUUAGCAUAACCAAAAAGAAGUUUUGCAGACACGGUUGUAUAAUCCAAUGACUAUUUAAAUAUUCUACAAUCUUUCCACUAAAAAAACAUUAUUAAUUUCUAGUCCAAGGUAUCAAACGUAGAAAUAUGCAUCGGCAAAAAACUUCUCAGAACAUGGGACAUACUUGCUGAGAGGUGUCUAUUACAAGAAUAUGAAAUGGCAAGCAGCAAUCAAGGUGGACAAGAAACAAAUCCAUAACCCAUUUGUAUGACAGGAAUAUAGGGAGUGUCAGCUCUGCAUCCCUGCACCACUGUCUACUAGGGUGGCGCAUUACGACCUGCUGAACUUAAUGAACUUUUUUCAACUCCACCAGAAAGUCCUAGGAGUAAAGCUCCACAUAAGGAAUCUGCAGAGAAGACUGCAUUAGGAGAAUAAUCCUUUGAUGGAUUCUUGGCACAGUGGACCCUUAUGACAUUGUUAGAUCCGGUUAAAAGUGUAGCCAAUUUGGUUUACAUCGGAUACUAAGGAAACAUUGCCUUUGUCCUGCAUAUAACCAGACGAAGAAGGUUAGAUCGCAAGAAGCAACAAUCAGAUAGAAAUGUUUUCCAGUACUUCAUCUUUGGACCUAAAAGGUGUUGGGAAGUCAUCAUUUAUCAACUCUCUACUCGGAAGGUAUGGUACUUGUUGAAGUUAUUGAUUAAAUAAACUUACAGAGUGAUAUCAAACCUUGUAGAAUCACACUGAAUAAGAUCCUUAUGUUAUGAAUAAGAUCUUUUGAUGCCACA